rnacentral:rRNA from 1 species
GAUGAACGCUGGCGGCGUGCCUAAUACAUGCAAGUCGAGCGAACAGACGAGGAGCUUGCUCCUCUGACGUUAGCGGCGGACGGGUGAGUAACACGUGGAUAACCUACCUAUAAGACUGGGAUAACUUCGGGAAACCGGAGCUAAUACCGGAUAAUAUAUUGAUCCGCAUGGUUCAAUAGUGAAAGACGGUUUUGCUGUCACUUAUAGAUGGAUCCGCGCCGCAUUAGCUAGUUGGUAAGGUAACGGCUUACCAAGGCAACGAUGCGUAGCCGACCUGAGAGGGUGAUCGGCCACACUGGAACUGAGACACGGUCCAGACUCCUACGGGAGGCAGUAGUAGGGAAUCUUCCGCAAUGGGCGAAAGCCUGACGGAGCAACGCCGCGUGAGUGAUGAAGGUCUUCGGAUCGUAAAACUCUGUUAUUAGGGAAGAACAAAUGUGUAAGUAACUAUGCACGUCUUGACGGUACCUAAUCAGAAAGCCACGGCUAACUACGUG